GAAUAAUAGAACACUGCAAGGACACAAUUUACAUAAGAAAAUGGAUUUAUGAGAAGAAAAAAAUUAUUACAGGCACAGCAAAAGAAAACAAGACAAGAAAGAGAUUUGGAAAAAAGGGGAAACUCUCUGCAAAGCAUAUCCAAGUUUCAAAAACGUCAUUGUUUGACCAGAAUGCAAAUGUUAUUUCCUUUCUAUCAAGGAUUGAAAAUUAGGUCGCCACAUUUGCACUUCCAGCUCAUAGGCUUGUAAUUGGAGACAUCAUCA
rnacentral:misc_RNA from 1 species